rnacentral:rRNA from 1 species
AACGAACGCUGGCGGCAUGCCUAACACAUGCAAGUCGAACGGGAUCCUAGCUUGCUAGGUGAGAGUGGCGGACGGGUGAGUAACACGUGGGAAUCUGCCUUUUUGGUUCGGGAUAACCGCGGGAAACUGCGGCUAAUACCGAAUGCCCUCGAGAGAGGAAAGAUUUUAUCGCCAGAAGAGGAGCCCGCGUCCGAUUAGGUAGUUGGUGGGGUAAAAGCCUACCAAGCCGACGAUCGGUAGCUGGUCUGAGAGGAUGAUCAGCCACACUGGGACUGAGAUACGGCCCAGACUCCUACGGGAGGCAGCAGUGGGGAAUAUUGGACAAAUGGGGGCAACCCUGAUCCAGCAAUGCCGCGUGAGUGAUGAAGG